rnacentral:rRNA from 1 species
UACGAAGGGUGCAAACGUUGCUCGGAAUUAUUGGGCGUAAAGCGCACGUAGGCGGCUUGGCAAGUCGGAUGUGAAAGCCCUCGGCUCAACCAAGGAAGUGCAUCCGAAACUGCUGAGCUUGAGUACUUAAGAGGAUCGCGGAAUUCCCGGUGUAGAGGUGAAAUUCGUAGAUAUCUGGAGGAACACCGGUGGCGAAGGCGACAUCCUGGACCGGUAUUGACGCUGAGGCGCGAAAGCCAGGGGAGCAAACGGG